UUGAUACCUACUCUUAAUGUUAUAUUAUAGUCUUGUCAGCUGGCUAUGAUGGUGAUGACAAUGAGGAUGAAGAAAGUCAAACAUCAGGGCAAUACCUUUUUGAUGAUCAACCCCUGCACCCACCUGAUGUAUUGAUGGGGGGCAUGCAUACCCCUCCUUCAACAUUGACUAUAGAUGAUUCAGAUACAACAUAUGCAAGAUCUCGAACUCAAGAUGGUGACGGCAGUGCCACUAGCCAUCCCCAAUUUCAAACAAUUUCAAUGCUCCAAAAACAGUACCAAGAUGGUGAAGAUAGCGACGAAGAGAGUAGGUUAUCAAGUGCGGGUCGAUUUGACAAAGAUAGAGAGCGAAUGGCUGUUGUUGGAAGGGAGGAUGAACAGUGGGUAGUCAACAGUCAAAUGUCACUUAGUCAACUUCAAAGACGCGUACGAAUGCUUGAAAACGAACUUAUAGACACUCAGCGGUCUCAAUCCGUAUGGAAGAUGGUUCUUUUAGCCAUGACAAUUAUUAACCCUUUUUUGAUCAACUACUUCAUGCGUAGGAGGUAGAGAAAUUGAAGCAAUUCUUUCCUUUAUUUAAUUUCUUGUUGCUUCAUGUAAGAUUGAAAAAAAAUUCAAUGUAUUUUGUUUUGCGAAACCAGAUUUACCUUAUAAGGUACCAGAAGCAUGUCUUCUGCUUUACAGACUAUGUAUCCCUUGUAUGGUGCAAACAUACAUUUUAGUGUCCUUUGUUCCGGAAAGCCAUAUUUCUUUCGUUAUUAAAGGCAGUCUGUCCCCUAUUGUGCUCAGUUUUAUUUUCACGGGAGUGAAAUUCACGCACCGUUGACCUUGGUCGAUAAUUAAACGAUUUAAACCAAUCAGAGACAAUUUUUAUUCCAGAGCUUUUGAAUCAAAUGGCUGUGUUUCCGUUUUAGCGAAGCUGUGGGUUGGAAAAUUUAGUUUCCCUGUUUGGUUUCUGCGACAGAUAUGUCAACAGGGCAAAGAAAUGCGUCCAUUAUUUCCUUUUUAUUUUAUUUCAUUCCAUUUUAAACUUAUUUAUACAGGGUAACAAUUCAGUGUAGAAACCUGUUUUACAAUUGGCCCUGUGAAGAAAGUAUCUAAUAAUACCGAGUUAUUUUGAUUAUAAAAUAUAAAUGUAAAAUAUAAAUAUAAAAAUACAAUAUAAUACAAUCUGAAAGAAUAAAAAGAAAGACAGAGAAACGGAAAGAAGGACGAAUUUGUCCAUGUUAGAGACCCUUGUAAGUUUUAAGUCUCGAUUUAAAGCAAUGGAUGGAGGAUGCCAAUUUUGAUUCUAAGUCAAGAUCAUUCCAAACUUGACAUAUUGUCAUCAUUCAAUUCCAGUAAUUAAAUCUUUUUUGCCAUUUCCGAUAGCCUUUUGCUUGCAGUUUCAAAUGUCUUCCACUACCGCAGCUAGGCCAGCCAAAGCGAGCAGCGUAAUCCGUUAAGGAGGAGGUAAGCUAUUGUUCAUAUUAGCCAAUCAUCGAGGGGACAGAAUGCCUUAAAAUCCAUGAAAUGCUUUCUGCAUGGAACGUGUCCCAAACUGGCGUGUUAGAUUCAAGAUCCUAGAUCCAACAUCCAAGAUCCACGUCUUGAUAAAGCCUGCAGGUGAGAGAAACUGAUUCUAAUUUCUACGAAUAGGUGUCAUUUUCUGCUUUUUCACCUUACUGUUUUACUUGACCCAACAUGAAAGCAUUCCCGAAUCCCGUUUCUUCCUCCAACAUCUCCCAGAAUUUCAGUUCAAUUGGUGCCUAUUUCCUGUAGACCCACGUUCUAUUGGUGCCGAAAUAUCGUUAGUUUGUAAUGUUGCCUUGAACUGUGUAAAAUCCUUUCUUAUUCUAUUUUACUAUGUUUGAUAAGUGUUAAAAGGAAUGCAAUGUACGUUAUUUUUGUAUUUUAUUCGAUUCUAAUUCGAAAGAUUAUUUUUUUUCAUGUGACAAAUAUUACCUUCAAAAAGUGA